ensembl:lncRNA
CAUACCCUCUCUGGCUGCUCCCCCCUCGUCGCCACCCAACGCCAUCACACAAGCCUCUCACAUAAGACCGCUGUGCUUGGAUUGAAUAGGACUCCAAUAAGAUGGCGGGAACCCUUUUAGAAAUAGAAGCCCUAUCUAACAGCAUCAAUAACCUCACAUACCUGCUACAGCUAGACCAGACACGGGAGGAGCUGAGACACUCUCAAAUGGCUCUAGUUUGAAGGGACUCCCGCUACUGACUCGCUAAGGGCUGCCAACGGACACCAAUACCUGUUUCCUGACGUUACCCCCACACCUGUGCCUGAAGCCACGUCCUCCAGCCACAGAUCACCUCAGUUGAAAACUUUUAAAAAAUUAUAUUCUCUGCAGAAAUGUUAAUAUCAAAGCGUUUGAAUAGAUUUAAUGUUUACUUGUUCUUUCAGAAAGUGGCAUUGGGAUAUGUUUCUCACAACAGCUCUUCCUUGCUUCCAAAAGCCCUAAGCAUUAACUUUCUAUCCAAAUCCUUCUAUGUGUGUUUGGACCACAUAGGCCCAAGCACUGGCCUCAUCUAUCAAAUGAACAAUAAAACCAAUAAAAAUAAAAAUAAAAUAAAAGGACCAAUAAAAAACAACAGUGUUACCCCUUAUGUUUUUUUCAUGACGACCAAUGAAAAACAACAGUGUUACACCUUAUGUUUUUUUUCCUGAGGAACAAUAAAAAACAACAGUGUUACCCCUUGUGUUUUUUUUCAUGGCGACCAAAGAAAA